rnacentral:rRNA from 1 species
GGUGGAGCAUGUGGUUUAUUCGAUGCACGCGAAGAACCUUACCUACUCUUGACAUCCAGAGAAUUUGCUAGAGAUAGCUUAGUGCCUUCGGGAACUCUGAGACAGGUGCUGCAUGGCUGUCGUCAGCUCGUGUUGUGAAAUGUUGGGUUAAGUCCCGCAACGAGCGCAACCCUUAUCCUUUGUUGCCAGCACGUAAUGGUGGGAACUCAAAGGAGACUGCCGGUGAUAAACCGGAGGAAGGUGGGGAUGACGUCAAGUCAUCAUGGCCCUUACGAGUAGGGCUACACACGUGCUACAAUGGCAUAUACAAAGAGAAGCGAACUCGCGAGAGCAAGCGGACCUCAUAAAGUAUGUCGUAGUCCGGAUUGGAGUCUGCAACUCGACUCCAUGAAGUCGGAAUCGCUAGUAAUCGUAGAUCAGAAUGCUACGGUGAAUACGUUCCCGGGCCUUGUACCACCCGCCCGU